rnacentral:rRNA from 1 species
AUGCUCCUCCUUUUGCUGUGGUGUUCUUCGAGCCUUGUGCCUCCCUUCUUCCCACAAGGAGUUGCAAGUCUCUUGCUCUUGACUCUACAAAGAAAGCAUCAAAUGAUUCGUCAGUUGGUAAAUCUGCCGUCGUACUUCCCUAUUGGUCUCGAUGGUCGCUGGUUUUCGUUUGUCGUGUGUAUCGAAGAUAGAGCUUUUGUGUUUCUUGACUCAGCGUUUGGAGAGAACUCAAUGUAUCAUAGAGAUAUCUAUGAUGAGCUGAUUCAUAAUUUCAUUGGGCUUUGGGAUGGGUAUAUCACUCCUAUGAUGCACAAAUGA